UGGGGAAUAUUGGACAAUGGGCGCAAGCCUGAUCCAGCCAUGCCGCGUGAGUGAUGAAGGCCUUAGGGUUGUAAAGCUCUUUCGGCGGGGACGAUAAUGACGGUACCCGCAGAAGAAGCCCCGGCUAACUUCGUGCCAGCAGCCGCGGUAAUACGAAGGGGGCUAGCGUUGCUCGGAAUCACUGGGCGUAAAGGGCGCGUAGGCGGACAUUUAAGUCGGGGGUGAAAGCCCAGGGCUCAACCCUGGAAUUGCCUCCGAUACUGGGUGUCUCGAGACCGGAAGAGGUNAGUGGAACUGCGAGUGUAGAGGUGAAAUUCGUAGAUAUUCGCAAGAACACCAGUGGCGAAGGCGGCUCACUGGUCCGGUUCUGACGCUGAGGCGCGAAAGCGUGGGGAGCAAACAGGAUUAGAUACCCUGGUAGUCCACGCCGUAAACGAUGGAUGCUAGCCGUUGGCAGGCUUGCCUGUCAGUGGCGCAGCUAACGCUUUAAGCAUCCCGCCUGGGGAGUACGGCCGCAAGGUU
rnacentral:rRNA from 1 species